rnacentral:rRNA from 1 species
UAUUAUUUUAAUUGUAAAUUUGUAAGGCUUGAGUAGUAUUAGUUAAGUUCUUGAAACUCAAAGAAUUUGGCGGUGUUUUAGUCUUUUCAGAGGAAUCUGUUCUAUAAUCGAUAUUACACGUUAAAGGUAACUUGAUUUUGUAAUUAACAGUUUGUAUACCGCCGUCAUAAGAAUAUCUUUUUAGGGAGAUAAUAUUCUAAUUAUUAAUAGAAAUUAUAUGUCAGGUCAAGGUGCAGCUUAUAAUCAAGGAGAAAUGGAUUACAAUAAAUUUAUUUAUUACGGAUAGAUGAUGAAAUUUUGAAAUGAAGGUGGAUUUGGAAGUAAUUUUGUUAUAUUAUGAUAAAAUGAUUAAAGCGCUGGAACAUGUACACAUCGCCCGUCACUCUCAUUAUUAAGGUGAG